rnacentral:rRNA from 1 species
AGUGAACGCUGGCGGUAGGCCUAACACAUGCAAGUCGAACGGCAGCACAGAGGAGCUUGCUCCUUGGGUGGCGAGUGGCGGACGGGUGAGGAAUACAUCGGAAUCUACUCUGUCGUGGGGGAUAACGUAGGGAAACUUACGCUAAUACCGCAUACGACCUACGGGUGAAAGCAGGGGAUCUUCGGACCUUGCGCGAUUGAAUGAGCCGAUGUCGGAUUAGCUAGUUGGCGGGGUAAAGGCCCACCAAGGCGACGAUCCGUAGCUGGUCUGAGAGGAUGAUCAGCCACACUGGAACUGAGGCACGGUCCAGACUCCUACGGGAGGCAGCAGUGGGGAAGAUUGGACAAUGGGCGCAAGCCUGAUCCAGUCAUACCGCGUGGGUGAAGAAGGCCUUCGGGUUGUAAAGCCCUUUUGUUGGGAAAGAAAUCCAUCUGGUUAAUACCCGGGUGGGAUGACGGUACCCAAAGAACAAGCACCGGCUAACUUCGUGCCAGCCGCCGCAGUAA